rnacentral:rRNA from 1 species
UACGUAGGGUGCGAGCGUUGUCCGGAAUUAUUGGGCGUAAAGGGCUCGUAGGCGGUCUGUCGCGUCGGGAGUGAAAACUCAGGGCUUAACCCUGAGCCUGCUUCCGAUACGGGCAGACUAGAGGUAUGCAGGGGAGAACGGAAUUCCUGGUGUAGCGGUGGAAUGCGCAGAUAUCGGGAGGAACACCAAUGGCGAAGGCAGCUUGCUGGGACGGUACUGACGCUGAGACGCGAAAGCGUGGGGAGCAAACAGG